rnacentral:rRNA from 1 species
AUUGAACGCUGGCGGCAUGCCUUACACAUGCAAGUCGAACGGCAGCGGGGGAGAAGCUUGCUUUUCCUGCCGGCGAGUGGCGAACGGGUGAGUAAUACAUCGGAACGUGCCCUGUAGUGGGGGAUAACUAGUCGAAAGAUUAGCUAAUACCGCAUACGACCUGAGGGUGAAAGUGGGGGACCGCAAGGCCUCAUGCUAUAGGAGCGGCCGAUGUCUGAUUAGCUAGUUGGUGGGGUAAAGGCCUACCAAGGCGACGACCAGUAGCUGGUCUGAGCGGACGAUCAGCCACACUGGGACUGAGACACGGCCCAGACUCCUACGGGAGGCAGCAGUGGGGAAUUUUGGACAAUGGGCGAAAGCCUGAUCCAGCAAUGCCGCGUGUGUGAAGAAGGCCUUCGGGUUGUAAAGCACUUUUGUCCGGAAAGAAAUGGCUCUGGUUAAUACCUGGGGUCGAUGACGGUACCGGAAGAAUAAGGACCGGCUAACUACGUGCCAGCCGCCGCCGUAA